UACAGAGGGUGCGAGCGUUAAUCGGAAUUACUGGGCGUAAAGCGCACGUAGGUGGCUAUGUAAGUCGGGUGUGAAAUCCCCGGGCUCAACCUGGGAACUGCAUUCGAGACUGCAUGGCUGGAGUACGGAAGAGGAGGGCGGAAUUCCCGGUGUAGCGGUGAAAUGCGUAGAUAUCGGGAGGAACAUCAGUGGCGAAGGCGGCCUGCUGGGCUCUUGCUGACACUGAUGCGCGACAGCGUGGGGAGCAAACAGG
rnacentral:rRNA from 1 species